AUUCAACUAUCAAUUUUGGAUGGGAGCGGUCGCACUCAAAAUGUUGCUCAAGAUAUGUUAUCUUUUGCUCGUUGUGAAUUGUUUCUGUUCUGCUGUUUGGGAUCUGAACGAAGUUGAGAUAUACGGAGCUGGAAAAGCCCCAUUCUUCGAGAUACCAUGCAUGCGCAUAGGAGGUACAUGCGCGCAAUCUUUCGCCUGUCCUCCUGGGACGAAGGUGGGUCAAAGAGGCCUAUGUCCUGAACAGCAGCGCAUAGGCGUAGAAUGCUGCAGACCCCAUUUCAGUCGGCAUAUCAAACUUCAUAAAAAAUGGUUGAGACGUACCCUGUACAUGCCAUGAAAAGCUUUUUCAUUUACGAACUUAUAUAGUAUGGUUUUUACGUAUUUGUAAUCAUCGAUAAAUUGGUAAACAGGUAAAUGGAAGGAGGAUCGAGUAUGGAAAUCCAGAAUUGGACCGACACCUGCUAAUCAAAAUUUUUGAAUUUUAUUGAUAAGAUUAAGUAAAUAAAAUGAUUAUGAAAAUCAGAACUAUGCCACUGUAGGCUUUGAUUUGAUUGGGCCUUAUCAACAACCUGUAAUAAUCACCAUAAUUUCUCACGCCAAAACAAAGCAGUAUAACAACUAAGAUUGUAAUUACGUCUUUCACAACGAGCUCUAGUAACUAUUCUAAGCUUUCCAAACAUUUUAUUAUUUCUCCGAUUUGGUAAAUAGAAUUUCAACAGUGUUUUCACACUAGCGGAUAUUUGUCGCACGGUUUUUAUACGCACGACACAUACCGGCGGCAAAAAUCGGUCGCGCUUUGUUAAACGUCAUCUUCCGUACAAGAUGUCAAUUGUUUUAUGUAAACACACACAAGAAUCCGCUAGUGUGAAAACGCUGUAAGUGACAUCUUUGAAGAUAAUAAUACUUUUGUCACUGAAAACCUUGGUUAAACAAAUACUCUUGUUAAAGAAGAACUUUGUUCCAGUAAAGGGGGUAAUGGGAUGUCGAACUCAAAUGGGUGAAUGCAUCCCAUUGUCUGUCACAUGCCCAAGUUACUUGUUAUCAGAAGACGCCACUGGAUGUGGGUAUGACGAAAUAUGCUGCUUACGAAGGGGGAAAUCACGCCUUGAAAAAAAGCCGUAGCUGGUUCUUGUUGAAACUUUUUUAAAGUAAUUUUAAGGUUGGAAGUCAAAUGGAAACUUUUUGUUUGGAAGUCAAACUCAGGCUUCAAAUUAAGAUCUGACAUGUAAAUAGAACGCCUACAGAUGCACCUAGUUCUGGUUUUUGUUAU